UCAGAAAUAUUUCCAAGAGAUUCCAAUUUAAAAGACAAGUUCAUAAAACAUUUUACAGGGCCAGUCUCCUUCUCAGCUGAGUGUAGCAAGCAUUUCCAUCGACUCUAUCACAACACAAGGGAUUGUUCAACACCAGCUUAUUACAAAAGGUGUGCAAGAUUACUAACAAGGUUGGCAAUGAGCCCUUUGUGUACACAACCAUAAAAAGUUUGCUGUACCUUUCUACUUUGAGAGAACUCUGAUUUGCCAAGAAAGUGCCUUGAAAUCUUCCUCAAGAUAAUAGAGAAGAUAUCUUUUAUCUUUUUGAUUUGCAGCAUUGUUUUGUUACUAGAUGCAUUUUAUUUUCAUAUGUUGGACAUUCCAUAUUUGUGUGAAGGAAACAUUAUUUUAUUUUAAUUUGUAAAUUUGUUGCCAAUAGCUCAAAUAAGCCAAUUAUUUAAAUUUGUUGUAUAUAAAGAAUAAUAAUAUACAAAUUAAAUAUUAUCAUAUGCAGAGAGGUUGAUUAGUUUUUGCUGUUGAUUAUCUUGUUCCAAUGUAUUUACACCAUUUUGCUCAGGCUCUUACUUUCAUUAUUUGCACUAACUUGAAAUGCAAGUCUAUGUAACUGAAAUCUGAAUAAGCUGUAAGUGGGAAGUUCUACUUUCAAUGGAAGAUACUGUAUAUUAUGAAGCUUUGUUAAUAUAUAUAUAUAUAUUAUUGCGCAUAAGAAAAUAAUGCCCAGAAAUGCACCUUGCUUUCAGGAACAUUUGUAUAGCUAUUCUGGAUUAUCAUCAGUUACAUUUGUACUGGCACUUAUGGAAAGAGUUGCAAAUAAUGUAAAUACUAUAAACGACUGGAAGACUGCAAUGCAGUUUUGGUGGAAUAAAGAAUAUAAAAAUAA